UCGGGAAUUUUGGGCAAUGGGCGAAAGCCUGACCCAGCAACGCCGCGUGAGGGAUGAAGUAUUUCGGUAUGUAAACCUCGAAAGAAUGGGAAGAAUAAAUGACGGUACCAUUUAUAAGCUCCGGCUAACUACGUGCCAGCAGCCGCGGUAAUACGUAGGGAGCAAGCGUUGUUCGGAUUUACUGGGCGUAAAGGGCGCGUUGGCGGCGCGGUAAGUCACUUGUGAAAUCUCUGAGCUUAACUCAGAACGGCCAAGUGAUACUGCUGUGCUAGAGUGCGGAAGAGGCAACCGGAAUUCUUGGUGUAGCGGUGAAAUGCGUAGAUAUCAAGAGGAACACCUGAGGCGAAGGCGGGUUGCUGGGCCGACACUGACGCUGAUGCGCGAAAGCCAGGGGAGCAAACG
rnacentral:rRNA from 1 species